UGUCAAGGGAUAGGAAUCGAACCCACGACCUUCCGCUUACCGGGCAGAUGCCAUGACCACUAGGCUACCCUGGAC